AGAGUUUGAUUCUGGCUCAGGACAACGCUGGCGGCGUGCUUAACGCAUGCAAGUCGAACGGUGGAUUUAGAUGGCGGACGGCUGAUUAACCCGCACAUAUGAUGCCUUUUGUUGCGCGUAACCUGCAGAACGCUAAGCUAAUUCCCGAUACCAGAAACGGUAAAUAUUUUUCGGUAAACGAUGAGUCUGCGUCCUAUCGACUCGUUGGUGAGGAAACGUCUCACCUUCGCCAUGAUGGGUACGCAGAGUGAAAGCUUGACCGCCAACAAUGGCUCUGCGACCUGGGUCAUACUCCUACUGGAGGCAUACUUCGACAAUAAUUGACAAUGGGCGAAAGCCUGAUCACGCGACACUCCGUGUGGGCGAUUCGUUGACCACUUUUCGAGGGGCUCACCCUAGGCAUAUGGAGUGACAAACUCGUGCCAACAGUAGGGGUAAUAAGAGUUCUCCAAGCGUUAUCGGGAUAUAUUGGGCGUAAAGGGUCUGUAGGUGGUAUGUAAAGUUUCUCGAUAUAGCUGCAGGGCUUCCUUGGGAAAAUUGGAAAUGACUGGCAAACUCGAGGAUGUUAUAGGCGGAGUGAACACUUGAUGAAGGGGUGGCAUCAGUAGCUCUCAAGGCGAACACCGCUAGCGAAAGUAAUCAGACGGGACGUCCUGACAGUGAAAGAAGAAAGCGUGGCGAGAUAAAAUGGUUAUACACCCUGUUAUUCCACGCCUCUAAGGAUGAAUAGUAUCUACCCCAAGAAGUCGAGCGGCAGUGAAGAAGCUAACGCGUUAAGUAGUGCGGCUGGGAAGUACGACUGCAAGGCAAAAAAUCAGAGGAAUAGCCGGGGAAGGACCCGAACGUUGGAUCAAAUGGCAUGAUAGAUAAUAACCGUGGCCGUCACCAUAUCAGAGUAAUGAGAGCUUUCGCUCUGAUUGUCACAACAGUUACAGGUUUGUCAUGGUCGUGUUCAGCAGGUUGCGUGAGAUGCUCCCAAAAAGGGCGAACCCUGCGCUAACCUUUCCUCUAGGUAUCACGGGGCAUUGUAGGCAGACUGCCGUAAACAAAAGGGAGGAAGGUGGGGAGGACGUCAAAUCAUCACGCCCGUUAUGUCGGGGGGCACACACGUGAUACAAUGGUCGGUACAGAGGGGUGCAAAAGUGCUAUGGGGAGCAAUCCUCAAAAACGGUUUCAAUUUGGAUUGGCGUGUGGAACUCGACCUCCUGAAGUUGGAAUCGGUAGUAAAUGCCGAUCAGCAUGCUGCGGUGAAUACGUUCCCGGGUCUUGUACUCACCCCCGUC
rnacentral:rRNA from 1 species